GAUGAAGAACGUAGCGAAAUGCGAUAAGUAAUGUGAAUUGCAGAAUUCAGUGAAUCAUCGAAUCUUUGAACGCACAUUGCGCCCGCCAGCAUUCUGGCGGGCAUGCCUGUUCGAGCGUCAUUUCAACCCUCGAGCUCCCCCGGGGGCCUCGGUGUUGGGGGACGGCACACCAGCCGCCCCCGAAAUGCAGUGGCGACCCCGCCGCAGCCUCCCCUGCGUAGUAGCACACACCUCGCACCGGAGCGCGGAGGCGGUCACGCCGUAAAACGCCCAACUUUCUUAGAGUUGACCUCGGAUCAGGUAGGAAUACCCGCUGAACUUAAGCAUAUCAAUAAGCGGAGGA
rnacentral:misc_RNA from 1 species